rnacentral:tRNA from 1 species
GCGGGUCGGGCGUCGCGGUGCGCACGAGGACGCGGUCGCCGUCCGCGGUGGCCGUGAGGUCGACGCCGUCGAGGAUCCGCGGCUUCGGGCUCGCG